CCCCCGGCGUCCUGAAGAGUCUGAGUAUAACUAACUGAAGAACUGCAUUAAGCGGGCAACAGAACGGGGAAUGUAUAAACCGGGUUCCUUGCCAGGACGUAGGUAAAUCCUAAAGUCCAAAUCAGUAAGUAGAUUAUUCUUACUCAGAACAUUUAAAGAGAAGGAAAUUUUAACAAUCUCGUGUCACAAAAAUCAAGUGCAUUUCACGCAAACAAAGAAGCAGCAGAAACUCACAAAGAACGUGGUUUUUAGAGACGCAGCAGCGAUUCACUUCACUUCAUAGGCCUCUGGAGACUGACAGGGCUCAGGAAGCAAACCCGGUUGAUUACAUCGCAGGCGUUUCUGGACGCGGUCAACACCCACCGUCCACGCCCCCUUGACCGUCGCUACCCACCACCUGCUAACACAAUGGAAAGAUAAAGACGGGAGAAGGUCCGCGGCUCUGGGUCGGCUGUAAUUCAGACACCACAGCCACCCACGCUCGGGCGCCCUGCAGGGGACUUUCAUUCAGAGGUUCCACCUCCCGUUUCCCUCUCAGGCCUACGGCCAGGCCCCAGUGGUCGAGGCGAGGAAGGCGACGAGCAGCACCACCGGGAGCAGGCCGGGGCGGCGCCCAAUUACCGCCGCACGAGCUUAACCCCGCGCCGCCCAGUCUCAGACUGCAAAGCCCUCACUCCGGCCUGAGGCCCCCGAAUCCAACCUCGAUCUGGUCCGCAGAACCUGGCCGGUCUCGCGCUUGUUUCCUUCAGAAGAGCAGCGGCUACCACCGAGCCUGCCUUACCGCCCUAGGGCUGCGCCAGACUCGGGGGACCGCCCAGCGCUCAAGACCGCGGCGCCGGAAUUCCGGAGAGUGCCUUCUCGGUCCCGAGUGCGCAGGCGCGAAGGGGGUUGGGUGGGUGUUGGGGGCCGGUCCCCCAGCUCCUCCUGAAGCGCUCGGAAAGACAGCUGGGGCACGAUGCCCGUGGGGUUUGGAAGAAGAGCGGGGUUCCCUCGUAGGCCGACUCCUCACCUGUACAGGUGACCUUGUGUGGUUUUCUGGACUCUAUUUUUCUGCGCAAGGAACCCUGAGGACCAAUCAGCUCUUGCAGGUCCAAAACCAUGGCCCGGGUAAGUUAAUGUUCUGUCACAGUUGA
rnacentral:lncRNA from 1 species